rnacentral:tRNA from 1 species
GUGGUUGUGGCUCAGUGGUAGAGCAUUUGCCUUGCAUGUGUGAGGCACUGGGUUUGAUCCUCAGCACCACA